rnacentral:rRNA from 1 species
GCUCAGGAUGAACGCUAGCUACAGGCUUAACACAUGCAAGUCGAGGGGCAGCAUGGUCUUAGCUUGCUAAGGCCGAUGGCGACCGGCGCACGGGUGAGUAACACGUAUCCAACCUGCCGUCUACUCUUGGACAGCCUUCUGAAAGGAAGAUUAAUACAAGAUGGCAUCAUGAGUCCGCAUGUUCACAUGAUUAAAGGUAUUCCGGUAGACGAUGGGGAUGCGUUCCAUUAGAUAGUAGGCGGGGUAACGGCCCACCUAGUCUUCGAUGGAUAGGGGUUCUGAGAGGAAGGUCCCCCACAUUGGAACUGAGACACGGUCCAAACUCCUACGGGAGGCAGCAGUGAGGAAUAUUGGUCAAUGGGCGAGAGCCUGAACCAGCCAAGUAGCGUGAAGGAUGACUGCCCUAUGGGUUGUAAACUUCCUUUAUAAAGGAAUAAAGUCGGGUAUGGAUACCCGUUUGCAUGUACUUUAUGAAUAAGGAUCGGCUAACUCCGUGCCAGCAGCCGCGGUAAUACGGAGGAUCCGAGCGUUAUCCGGAUUUAUUGGGUUUAAAGGGAGCGUAGAUGGAUGUUUAAGUCAGUUGUGAAAGUUUGCGGCUCAACCGUAAAAUUGCAGUUGAUACUGGAUAUCUUGAGUGCAGUUGAGGCAGGCGGAAUUCGUGGUGUAGCGGUGAAAUGCUUAGAUAUCACGAAGAACUCCGAUUGCGAAGGCAGCCUGCUAAGCUGCAACUGACAUUGAGGCUCGAAAGUGUGGGUAUCAAACAGGAUUAGAUACCCUGGUAGUCCACACGGUAAACGAUGAAUACUCGCUGUUUGCGAUAUACUGCAAGCGGCCAAGCGAAAGCGUUAAGUAUUCCACCUGGGGAGUACGCCGGCAACGGUGAAACUCAAAGGAAUUGACGGGGGCCCGCACAAGCGGAGGAACAUGUGGUUUAAUUCGAUGAUACGCGAGGAACCUUACCCGGGCUUAAAUUGCAGAUGAAUUACGGUGAAAGCCGUAAGCCGCAAGGCAUCUGUGAAGGUGCUGCAUGGUUGUCGUCAGCUCGUGCCGUGAGGUGUCGGCUUAAGUGCCAUAACGAGCGCAACCCUUGUUGUCAGUUACUAACAGGUUCCGCUGAGGACUCUGACAAGACUGCCAUCGUAAGAUGUGAGGAAGGUGGGGAUGACGUCAAAUCAGCACGGCCCUUACGUCCGGGGCUACACACGUGUUACAAUGGGGGGUACAGAGGGCCGCUACCACGCGAGUGGAUGCCAAUCCCCAAAACCUCUCUCAGUUCGGACUGGAGUCUGCAACCCGACUCCACGAAGCUGGAUUCGCUAGUAAUCGCGCAUCAGCCACGGCGCGGUGAAUACGUUCCCGGGCCUUGUACACACCGCCCGUCAAGCCAUGGGAGCCGGGGGUACCUGAAGUGCGUAACCGCGAGGAGCGCCCUAGGGUAAAACUGGUGAC